CAGCUCUAACCAGCCCAGAGAUAAGACAAAACACCCGAAGCAUUGAUACACUUAACAGCUGCGAUGUCAGAGAUGCUGAGGACCUCGUGAAGCUGCUGCAUCCUUUGAAGACAGCCACCACAGUGUUGUGUGAGGAGAAGAGUCCCACAGUGUCUCUCAUUGUGCCACUGAAGAGCAUGGUUGAACAGAACAUGACACCAAAUGAUGGAGAUUCCACCACUGUGACCAACACAAAGACUGCAAUCCUCACGAAUAUUGCAAACAGAUACAGUGGGGAUGCCUUCAACUAUCUGCUGGAGUGCACGGUACUGGACCCAAGGUUCCGGACUCUACCUCAGCUAGACCAUGAGCAGUGUCAGGCCGUCUUCCUGAGGGUACAGAACAAGGCAGAACAGUUCCUGCAAAAACAGGUAUAUAUAUCACUUUAAAGUGUAUUGUGUAUGUUUGUGAACUAAACAUUUUUAAGAGAUUGAUGAAGUGUGUGUGUUAGAAACAUGAGAGCAUCACUUGUGUGUGUGUGUGUGUGUGUGUGUGUGGGGGGGGGGGGGGGGGGGGGCUCUUAGCUGCUUAUCAAAUUUAAUGCCAGUGUUUCUUCUGUUUAAAGACCACAGCUGAGGAGAGGGAAGAAGGGGCAGCAGGUGGAGCUCACUGUCCCACACAUGGUGGAGAGGAGGCUGUGA